AGCUGGUACCUGGGAUCGGGCAGGACGGUCCUCUUGCUGGCGCGGGCGGCCGGAGUCGCCUUGCUCUUCUCCAUGGCCAUCAGGUAAUGAUGAAGCCCCUGCUCUGGUCCAAGCUACCUGUGAACAGCGCCCAGCGGGCCGGGCCCCCAACCUCGCUCCUGAACGUACCCGCAAGCCCGCCGUGAGAAUUCAGCGAAGAGUAAAGGCUGGAGAAAGUUGCGUGUCUCAGGCUAAGCAGAGCAAAGUGGGGUGAGGGCUUCGCCGCUAGGAACAGAGAUGCCCUUAGGGAGCCCCCUGAUGGAAGAGCUCUCUGCUUAAGAAGGUCAGCACGCCCUUACACUCAGUUUUACCACGUUUUUCAAGAUCCAAGGCACAAUAGGCAUAAAGUUAUCCUGAAAAGGACAAGAGGAGUGUCAGAAGUAGGAAUGGCAGUCGAAGGAGCUUCGUCUGGCAGCAGAAAGCCAAAAUGACAGGAAAAGUGGAAAUGAGGCCUUUUACCCCAGGGUUGUUGAGAAGACAGGGGAGAAAAAGCACAUAAAAAUGCACCUUGUCGGGCGCAGUGGCUCACACCUGUAAUCCUGCACUUUGGGAGUCUGAGGCAGGUGGAUCGCUUGAGGCCAGGAGUUCAAGACCAGCCUGGCCAACAUGAAAAAUACAUUAAAAAUAAUGUCUCUAUUAAAAAUACAAAAAUUAGCCAGGCAUGGUGGUGCACGCCUGUAACCCAGCUACUCAGGAGGCUGAGGCACAAGAAUCGCUUGAACCCAGGAAGUAGAAGCUACAGUGAGUCGAGAUUGCACCACUGCACGCCAGCCUGGGUGAAAGAGUGAGACCCUGUCUGAAAAAAAAAAAAAAAAAAAAGCAUUUUGCCUGGCACCCAGUAGAUCCUCAAUAAAGGUCAUGUCACUUCCUCUGUUUAUUUUGCUUCAUUUUACCCUGGCAUGCUAGAGAAGAUGCUGAA
rnacentral:lncRNA from 1 species